GGCCCCACUGAAUACACCUCAUGGUAAGUUAUAGCUGGUAGAAUAGCAUGUGAAAAAAAAACAUGGCUUGUAUAGAGAACUAAAUUUCGUAUAUGUUCGAAGAUUAGAAUUAAAAUGAAUAUGUUCUGUCACACAUAAAUAAUUAGACUGAAAUGAAAAACCUAGUUACUCUUUCCCGGUACUUUCUUUGUGAAGUACCGUAUUUGAUUGUGUUUGUUACAAAUGUUGGCGGAUGGAUAUGUACGAGACAGAAACCGGUGAUCCGUCAUGAGACUGCGCUUCCGAAUGGUUUACGAUCUCCUCACGGGACACCUCGAUGCGGCAGUGGCCAGCCUGAGGCUGCUGUUGGGACAGUUCCUGGCGGAGGAUCUUGAGCUUCUGAACAAGGUCUCUCUUGUACUUGGGGACGGUGAGGCACUCGGACUCCUCUGGGAGUUGACUGGGAGACACCAGAGCCUGCUGGGCCUGCUCCUUCAACUGGUUCUGACGACUGGAGGGCAGAGAGAAGGAACAAGAUGAAUGACAACAUUUAGAACGAGGAGUAAACACACUGAGGUCAUCUGGGAAGCACAUCAAGUCCAACAGCUGCCUCGGCCCCUCGCACAGACAGACAUAGGUGGAGGUGGGAUUACUGGAGAGCCAGUGGCCUCUGUGGAGCCGGGUUCCCACUAACCGUAUCCCUCAGGCAGAUCCGGUGGCGUGUGCAGGUGGGUCCUGCUCAUAUAGUUGCGAUGCCUCUGCGAGCGGACCCGUCUCUCCUGGACCCG